CGGCAUGCCUAACACAUGCAAGUCGAACGAGACCUUCGGGUCUAGUGGCGCACGGGUGCGUAACGCGUGGGAAUCUGCCCUUGGGUUCGGAAUAACAGCGAGAAAUUGCUGCUAAUACCGGAUGAUGACGUAAGUCCAAAGAUUUAUCGCCCAAGGAUGAGCCCGCGUAGGAUUAGCUAGUUGGUGAGGUAAAAGGCUCACCAAGGCGACGAUCCUUAGCUGGUCUGAGAGGAUGAUCAGCCACACUGGGACUGAGACACGGCCCAGACUCCUACGGGAGGCAGCAGUGGGGAAUAUUGGACAAUGGGCGAAAGCCUGAUCCAGCAAUGCCGCGUGAGUGAUGAAGGCCUUAGGGUUGUAAAGCUCUUUUACCCGGGAUGAUAAUGACAGUACCGGGAGAAUAAGCUCCGGCUAACUCCGUG
rnacentral:rRNA from 1 species